CAGCGUGAGCAGAUGAGAGAGAGAGUCAGAGCAGAUCAGCACAGACAGUUUCUCCUGAAAAUCCACUGAUCUAACUGGAAAUGUGAUUGAGUGCACUAAAAGUGGAGCUUUUGAAGUCGACGCGUCAGCCCGAAGUGAUGUCGUCGGAGACAGAGAAGAGAGAGACGGUGCGGAUCCCAGCGUGUUGAAGCACUACCCAAAGGAAAAGGACAUGAAGGACAAGACAAAUGAAUGUCUGUUGAUGAGUAUCAAGCACAACCUCGACAGAGACUCAGAAGAGGCUGAAAUAAUGGAGGAAAACGGAAAAAUUGAGAAAUGACAACAAAAAAAGCUACCAAAUCUGAUAAAUGAAGUGAAGAUGGCCCUGAAGUCUCUGUUUGUCAGCAUCAGUCACGUAACUUGGAUGAUGGGACAGGAUUUGCCACAGAGUAAUUACAGAGCCCUUCCAGCAGAACAGGAGCAACGUUGCAGAAAGUGUCCUCAUGUGGUGUCUACCAGCAUUGGUACAGCAAAUAAUGCCAAACUUACUGAAAUUAGAGGGAAGAAUACACAAAAAUAUCUGAAAACCUUAAAGGUGAUAAAGAGGAUCUUUUCGUCGACUGAGAAACCAAAGACUGUUACUGAGUUUUUGAAAUGAGCGCAUGUGUAAGAACAACCACCCUCCUUUCGAGGGAAC